CAGCCGCGUAAUUCCAGCUCCAAUAGCGUAUAUUAAAGUUGUUGCAGUUAAAAAGCUCGUAGUUGAAUUUUGGAUUCUUCCAAUUGGUCCAUCUUUUAGAUGAGUACUGGUUGUGUGGGGUCUAUCCGCCUGGUGAUACGUAAUGUCCUUUAUUGGAUGUUGCGGGUAGUCAGGACCUUUACCAUGAAAAAAUUAGAGUGUUUAAAGCAGGCUUAUGCCGGAAUACAUUAGCAUGGAAUAAUAGAAUAGGACGAAGUUGUUUUAUUUUGUUGGUUUCUAGGACAACCGUAAUGAUUAAUAGGGAUAGUUGGGGGCAUUAGUAUUCAAUUGUCAGAGGUGAAAUUCUUGGAUUUAUUGAAGACUAACUACUGCGAAAGCAUUUGCCAAGGAUGUUUUCAUUAAUCAAGAACGAAAGUUAGGGGAUCGAAGACGAUCAGAUACCGUCGUAGUCUUAACCAUAAACUAUGCCGACUAGGGAUCGGGCGAUGUUGUUUCCAUGACUCGCUCGGCACCUUAUG
rnacentral:misc_RNA from 1 species